GACGAACGCUGGCGGCGUGCUUAACACAUGCAAGUCGAACGGGGUUCCUUGGAUAGAGGCUUCGGCCAAUUGAAUUGGAACCUAGUGGCGGACUGGUGAGUAACGCGUGAGGAACCUGCCUUUUAGAGGGGGACAACAGUUGGAAACGACUGCUAAUACCGCAUGACACAUAGAAGCUGCAUGGCUUUUAUGUCAAAGAUUUUAUCGCUGAAAGAUGGCCUCGCGUCUGAUUAGCUAGUUGGUGAGGUAACGGCCCACCAAGGCGACGAUAAGUAGCCGGACUGAGAGGUUGACCGGCCACAUUGGGACUGAGAUACGGCCCAG
rnacentral:rRNA from 1 species